UCUCUACAUAUACAUAU
rnacentral:sRNA from 1 species